UACAGAGGUCUCAAGCGUUGUUCGGAUUCAUUGGGCGUAAAGGGCGCGUAGGCUGCGGGGCAAGUCGGGUGUGAAAUCUCAGAGCUCAACUCUGAAACUGCACUCGAUACUGCUUUGCUUGAGGACUGGAGAGGAGAUUGGAAUUCACGGUGUAGCAGUGAAAUGCGUAGAUAUCGUGAGGAAGACCAGUGGCGAAGGCGGAUCUCUGGACAGUUCCUGACACUGAGACACGAAGGCCAGGGGAGCAAACGGG
rnacentral:rRNA from 1 species